rnacentral:rRNA from 1 species
AGUGAACGCUGGCGGUAGGCCUAACACAUGCAAGUCGAACGGCAGCACAGUAAGAGCUUGCUCUUACGGGUGGCGAGUGGCGGACGGGUGAGGAAUACAUCGGAAUCUACUUUUUCGUGGGGGAUAACGUAGGGAAACUUACGCUAAUACCGCAUACGACCUACGGGUGAAAGCAGGGGAUCUUCGGACCUUGCGCGACUGAAUGAGUCGAUGUCGGAUUAGCUAGUUGGCGGGGUAAAGGCCCACCAAGGCGACGAUCCGUAGCUGGUCUGAGAGGAUGAUCAGCCACACUGGAACUGAGACACGGUCCAGACUCCUACGGGAGGCAGCAGUGGGGAAUAUUGGACAAUGGGCGCAAGCCUGAUCCAGCCAUACCGCGUGGGUGAAGAAGGCCUUCGGGUUGUAAAGCCCUUUUGUUGGGAAAGAAAAGCAGCAGGUUAAUACCCCGCUGUUCUGACGGUACCCAAAGAAUAAGCACCGGCUAACUUCGUG